AGACGGAUGAAGAGGACAAAGUCCGUGCAACUCAGAACCUGCAAUUCAGAAGCUAACGAGACUAUCACUAUGCAGUCCUAUUGCGAGUCUUUGAACAGAGUUCAAGAGAUGUGAAACAACUGGUACGCACUGGCGGUGCAGUGCACGACCCUGCAAAGCCAAGGUGCAGAAACCACCAGCGGCGUGUUUAAGCCUGCAGCCAUCAGUC